CCUACGGGAGGCAGCAGUGGGGAAUAUUGGGCAAUGGGCGCAAGCCUGACCCAGCAACGCCGCGUGAAGGAAGAAGGCUCUCGGGUUGUAAACUUCUUUUAUCAGGGACGAAGCAAGUGACGGUACCUGAUUAAUACGCCACGGCUAACUACGUGCCAGCAGCCGCGGUACUACGUAGGUGGCAAGCGUUAUCCGGAUUUACUGGGAGUAAAGGGCGUGUAGGCGGGAAAGCAAGUCAGAUGUGAAAACCAUGGGCUCAACCUGUGGCCUGCAUUUGAAACUGUUGUGCUUGAGUACUGGAGAGGCAGACAGAAUUCCUAGUGUAGCGGUGAAAUGCGUAGAUAUUAGGAGGAACACCAGUGGCGAAGGCGGUCUGCUGGACGGCAACUGACGCUGAGGCGCGAAAGCGUGGGGAGCAAACAGGAUUAGAUACCCGAGUAGUC
rnacentral:rRNA from 1 species